rnacentral:rRNA from 1 species
CACGGAGUUAGCCGGCGCUUCCUUUGGAGGUACCGUCAAUCGCUAGACCCUGUUCGAGUCAGCGCCUUUCUUCCCUCCUGACAGUGGUUUACACCCCGAAGAGCUUCCUCCCACACGCGGCGUCGCUGCGUCAGACUUUCGUCCAUUGCGCAAUAUUCCCCA